rnacentral:lncRNA from 1 species
GUCUUUGUAGUAUAGUUACCUCAUAGUAUGCUAGUUAGGAUUAAAGCCUUGGAAAGUUCUUAUUUGCAUGUAUAAUAGAGAAAACAUAGAUCCAAGGUUUAUAGGGUUGCAUGUACACCAUAGGAGUGUUAGAAUGCUCAAAACCCAACAGUGGUAUCAGAGCCAUGGGUUGUUUUCUGUUAUAUUGAUGCAAAUGUUUUAUUUUCAAAGUUGAAAAAAAAGGAAAAAAAAACAUGACGUUUGUCAAAUUUUAAGAUAAUUACUUUUUUUUUUGAAAAACUAAUUAUUUGUAAAAUUUGAAUCAUUUGCUAUAUGAGUUGAAUUAGGUCAAAUUUAGUAAAGGAUAAAAUGAUAUGAUUAUUUUAUUAGUUUUAAAAGUUUGAUCUAAAGAGUUUUUUGAAACCUCCAUAAGUUAUGGAUAUGAAAAGGUUUAAAAAAAAUUGAUUCAAAGUUUUUAUGGAGUUACAAAAUUUGGUGUUAAUGUUUUAAAGAAUUCCAUAACUUAUUCUUAAGUUAUGGAACAUGAAAAGUUUCAUCAUAAAACAAACAUUUAACUCCAUAAGUUAUGGAUUACCAAAAGUUUUAUGUUUCCUUGUUUUAUGAGUUAUUUUUUAGAUUAAUGAAAAAUAUGUGUUAGAUGUUUUCAAUCCAAAUUAAUCUAAAAGUUGUUCAUAAAAUGUGUUUUUGUAACUUGUCCUCAAGUUAUAUGAAAAGUCACAUUUAUGAAUCUUAAAAACUCAUAAAAAUGCCUUAGGUUAUAAAAAAAAUGAAGAGUCUUUUCUUAUAAAUAGUUUUUAUGGCUCCAUAACUUGUCCUCAAGUUAUGGAUGUCCAAGAGUCUCUUCAUUAAAAGUUUUAAUACUUUAAUUAAAACUCAUAAGUUAUGAAAAUCCAAGAGUUUUGAAUAGUUUCAAAACUUGCCCUCAAGUUUUGGAAUUUGAAAAGUUUUCUUUUAUGAAUACUUUAAUUCCAAGUUAAGCCCUUAGAAUUUUAAAGAGUUAAAAUUCAACCCUUAUACUUUAUAAUAUUAUAAGUUAAUAAUAUUUAUAUAUAUGUAUAAGAGUAAAGUCAGUCUUACCGUUAGUAGGCCUCAUUCACGAAGCCGGUCUAUAAGGGGGGUAUAAGGUUACUGCCUAUAAAAUGGCAGUUUAAUGGGUGUCCACUCUCACCCACCGCUUCCUUGACCGGUGGAGGGUCGUUAGCCGAACGGGUAGGACAAGGACUAUAAUUCUCCCUUCAUUAAAAGUAUUAAUGAUAAAUACUAAGUAACUAAACUCUUAAUAAUACCCAAUCUUAGUUACUUAGGAAAAUGUGAAUAAGGUGCUAAUCCAUGAAAUUACACUUUGCACUUUGUUUAAGUCGGUUAGUGGAGCGUGUGUGGUUAACCGGCACACUAACUCGUAUUUAACAAGGUAGGCAAAGGGUAACUUAAUGUUUAUCAUAGUAUCGAUGGAGCGUGUGUGGUUAACCGGCACAUCGAUUGAGGGGUAAACACUUAAGGGUACCAAGUAAUUUGCAUGGUUACUUCACACCUUGUUUUGUGAUCCUCGGCAUCCCAGUCACAAAACCUGAAGGGCACACUCGAGAUUGAAACAUGCCAUUGAACAGUUCAAUGAAUCUCAAAAGAUCUAGGAGUUUCAAAACCAAUUAAAACCUAAUAAUACAUUUCGUUUAUCUUGGUGGAAAUUGGUGAAUCGUCAUUCACCUACCUUCAAAUAUUUUAUAGCUUGGAUUACGGCAUACCUCUUCUAAGUUAUAAAAUAGUUUGUUGGGUCCUAGCCUUAAUAUUUCAUAUUGGGUGUCAUAUUAAGGACUUUAAAUCAACUAUCUUGAAUAUCUCCCAAAAGAUGUCUGGUUUAGACAUUUAUGAUCUUCCCAAAUCUCUUGAAACAAGCUUUCCUAAAUGAAGAUGAUGUCCCAUGGAAAUCAUACUUCUUUCACCUCCUCCAAUUAUUCUCCCUAACCCACAAGUUCUUGAAAAGUUUAAGGUCACUCAAGCCCUAUUGGCAAGGCAAGGUCUAGGUGUGAUCACAUCUUGGAGAUGUAGUCACAUAUUGACAAGCCGGGAGAGUUGGGUGUCAAAGUCUUGAGAAAGUUGGUGGUUCAAUCACUUUCUAAGUCACAUAGUGAGUUCCUUUGGGACACCUAUGAAACAGACUAUGACAAGACCCUUAAUGAUCUUAUCUAUUUGUUAAGAUCAACUUCCUUAAAACUUGAUGGACAUUGACAAUAGUGACACAGGAAAUCCAGAAAAGCAUUCUCUUCCCAAUGGAAAGGGAUCGGCCAUAGUCAACUCGGUUGACCAAAUGGUAAAGAGAAAAGCUAAGUCUGUGAUAGUCCCGUGUACCAUUAUCAAAGGGUCCAUAUGUUUAUAUUGCCAAAGGAAGGGGCAUUGGUUGCGAAGCUGCCAAAUUUACCUAAGGAUGUUAAAGUCAAUAAGUUUGACUCUACUUCAGGUAAAGUCCACUAUCUAACUCUGUUAAGUUUCUAUUCUGAGAUUCUUGAUACAUGAUGUGACUGGGUCACAUGGUGAUGUUUUAAGAAUCAAAGAAAAGUGAAGAAACUUAAAGAAAGAAUAUGCUGAAUCUGAUCGCGUAGAUGGAUUUCUAUCGCAUAGUUUGAAGAUCGGAUUCUUGAGCUACUUCUUAGGAGUUAUGAGAUAUUGCUUAGGAAUAGAUAACAACAAGUUUUCAUAUGGAUUGUAAGGAUAAGUUUUUCCGCAAAGUUUUAAAAUAAAAGAAAAUUUUUUAUUUUAUUUAUUUUAAAAUAUCCUUACAAUGGCAUUUGAGGAAAAAUUGUUGCUUAUAUGAUUCCAUUAAGAGCAAGAGUGGAAAUAUGAAAUUGAUUCUUUCAUUUGUGGUAAUGUCUAAAUUUACCAAAUAAGGAAAGAUUCUCAUCACCCAAGUUUCAAUUGGACCGGAACUUGGAAUCAUGCAAGUUGUAUAGCAUGAUGAAUGAGAACUUUCAAGUAUUGGAAAAUUAAGACUAAUUACUUGUUCACAUGGAUGUGUGAGUCAAGUAAAGGACUAAGGGAUCGAGUACACAUUCUUGUGCACUGAUUAAGUCCACCACUAAAGAUCGAUAAGAAGAAUCAAAUAAGGCAGAAGGAUAAAAGUUUCUCAAAUCUGAAAAGAUGGGAGAGUACUUUAGUAUCAGUUUUGUGAUCAUCUUAAUGAUUAAGAAACCAUAUCAAAAUUAGUUCUCUAAGGAAAUCUUAGUGCAUUCUUAUGACUAAGAAGAGGAACUUGAAUUGUUGAAAUGGUUAAAUCAAGAAGAUGAGUCAUACUUCGUUCCAAUACAAGUCUUAGAGUCAUACUCCAAGAUUGUCAUUUGAGUGACAUGUCUUAAAGAAGGUUUAAAACACUUGUCAAAUGUAAGAGUAAAAGUUUUCUACUCUUGUACAUUUGAAAUUGGUAAGUUGUGAUGUUUUGGAUAAAACAAAGACCAACUUAGGCCAAUUGGGUAAAGUGUUUUUCUUGAUUAGAAUCCGCACUAUCUCUUGGAUGUUUGACAAGGGAGUCUUAUAUGUCAAGAGGACAGUGGGAGUCUUAAAGGUCUUGAAAGUCUCAAGAAAUAAUCAAGAAUAAAACCUAAAGUUCUUCACUAGCACACGAUUUGAGGUUUAUAAUCUAUUGUGUUGACAUAUCUGUGCCCAUUCCAGUUAAAGUUGGCUUUGCAUAUGAGUUCUUAGAGUUCUCAGUUUGUUGCAUAACAACUUGGAAGCAAUGGCAGGCCCUUGAGCUGCCAGGUGGCAAGAAGUUAAGAUUGAGUUCAAUCCAUAUGGUUUUGGAUUUGUCAUUAUCUUUGUCUUGUGAUUAUGGUUUGACAAAUUCAUAUGGGUAGGAACUCAUACACCAUAUAAAUCUAAGUGUCAUAAGGUUUCUCUCCGAUUCAUGAAAAUGAUGGUGAGGAAACGCUUUCACUAAGUAGAUUUUACGAAGAUAUCAAUUGUGUUAUUUGCAUUUUCAAAAGUCGUUAGUGGAGCGCGUGUGGUUAACCGGCACACUAACAUGGACUUGUGAGAAAUGGCAAAUGCCUAAGCAAUUGAGACCAUGAUUACGGUAUCCCUUUUCAUGGUUCUUGAAAUUGCUUAGACACACAGGUGAGCUAUCUACGGAAAGGGUGUAUGAAUCUAAAUUUCAGACUGUCCAGCUGAUUUCUGAGUACAUGUCAAAGCUAGUGGGAGCAUAAGUGUUAUGCUAAUAAUCAUCAUGUUAGUGGGAGCAUGAUAAUUAUGAUAAGUAUUGCAAGUUAGCAAUGUUAAUUAUAGAAAACAAAAGUUUCAAUUGGGAAAAAGUUGUUUUGCUAUAAUUAAGGGAGAGGAAAUUAUGCUUCAUCUCAAAUCUAUAAGCUUAGAUCGUGAGGUUUUAAUCAUUUAGUCAAGGAUAUAUAUGAAUUUCAUGUUGGAAUGGCUCAACAUAAGGAAAUUCUGUAUAUGGGUCCAUUAUUUGCGUUCUAAAAUUCGAUUAUGAUUACGGCAUCCCUUUUCAUAAUCUGAAUUAUGAGAACUUGGCAAAUUGAAAUGGAAAUAUUAUAGCAAAAGACUGGUUUAGUCUUUAUGUAAGACAUCAUGAAUCGUGUCCCAUAUGCUUCGGAUAUAGGAUCGAUUACAUGUGCUAUAUUCAUCCGUUCUAAAAUUUUCCAAAUGCCUGGGGCAUUAAGAAGGGAAAAGGUUUAGAACUGGAUAUGACUAAAAGGAUUAAACAAUUGUCGAGGACAAUCUAAGGUUUACCAAAGAUUGGUUACUCAAGGACAAUUGGAAGUAUAGUGAUAAUUCUGGAAGGACCAUAUUGACAUAAUCUGUAAGGAGGCAACUCUUGUUCAGAAGUGAUAGUCAAAAUGGAAUCUGGAAAUGUUUCAAAGUUAGAAUUUUCAAUCUGUGUAAGAUUAAGGAAACUUAAUGCAAGAAGGAUAUUUCCAAGGAGUUGAUCUCCUUUGGAAUACUCUGUAAUGAUUGUUGCCAAGUCUUUGUGACUUUGUGCAUAAUCAUUACAAGAGGAUCAAUGCAUAUAAGUUUAGAAUCUAACAGAUUUCAGUAAAUGGCAUGAAUUUGGAAUUCUUGCAUUUGCAGUAAGGAUUUGGGAGUGUGAAAAGAGAAUCAUUGAAGUUAUGUUCAAUUGAUCUAGUUCACAAAGUAAAGAUCAUAGACAAACAUAGUAUGCAUACUUGGUGUGUGGCAUGACUAGUGUUUAAGAAAACAUAGUGUACAUGCUUGGAGCAUGGGACAACUAUUGUUUUAAAUUCAAGAAUAAAGUUGAUAGCUGAAACAGUAUACAAUGAAUAAUGUGUAAUCAUAUGGUGAUAAAUAAAAGGUGUUUUAUUUAUGUUCAAAGGGUUGAUACCAUAUUGGAUUCAAUUAUUAUUGUGUUUCAUUUUGCAUGUUUUGACUUCCCGAAUAAACUGGGUUAUUCUUCCGGAAUGACUAAGUUAUUCAAACCAUCCACAGUCGGUCAUAUGUUGGAAGUAGAUAUGAAUUAAGACUGUCAUGGGUUGGCUUGUAGAGGUCUAAGGUGUUGGACAAAGGGCUACAACACUCAUGAGUGCUCAUAAGUUCUGAGUAUUGGAUUCAACCCGCGCUCAUUGGAAUCACUUCAUGGAUUUUAUCACGAGUGAUCAUGAGACGAUAAUAUCUUAUAUUCUUCAAACCUAGAGAUAUGAGUUGUUACUAUGAGUUGAUAGUACAUUGAUUGCACGAAAACGCAUUUGGUAACUCGGUGCUAUAAAACGUGCCUUUGUGUAUGAUUCAACAAGUAGUAGAACAAGCCAUAUGAGUCGAAGUUUAUCCAUUCCUUUUACCUUCGGGAUAAAAGCGAUAUCUGUGGGCCCCUCGAUGAUUUGAUGAUGACAAAUGGAAGUGCUCGGCCGGGCCAGGACUGAUUUGAUUUGUUCAAUUAGUCAGUCGUCAUAAAUCGGAAAUCGGGAAACAACAAAUGGACAGAGAGAAUGAUUAUAAUCCAUGUCUCAGUCCAUAUGAUAUCUAGAAUGGAGGAAUAUAUGAUCCCUUAUCUAAUGGACAAGUCAUUGACAAAGGUCAGAGUUCAUCUACAAGGUCAGAGUUCGACAGAAGCUUUUGAGAGCUACGAUUGCCAGUUGGUUCCUGAAGUCAUACGCAAUAAUAGUUUUAGACUUAUCCAAGUGGGAGACUGUUGGAUUAAUGUCUAAGUCCAUAACUAUAUUUGGUAUGUACUUGACCCGACCCGGCAUGGUCCAUUUGGGUUGCACUUCACCGGCACAAUUUAUAUGGAUAGUAUUUUGAGAAUAGUAUAUUUAUGAUUUAUAUUAAUAUAUUAUAAGUUCUAAUAUAUUAAUAUAAUCAUAUUAUUUAAUUAGUAUUGAUCAAGAAUUAAUUUAUAAUUAAUUAAGUGAUCAAAAUGAACUAAUUAAAUAUGGACUCUUAGAUAUAUAUGUGUAGUGGGCCAAGUUCAUUUAGGUUGGGCUAAGUCUUCAUGGAUAGUCCAUGGAGCUUUAACCCAUGGAUCCUAGGAAAUGAAAGGUCAUGGGUAUUAGGGUUUAACCCUAAUCCUCCACACUAUAUAAAGAUGUCCUUGGUUGGUGAAAUGGGCACUAGUGUGGGUACACUAAGAGGGCUAGCCAAUUUCACUAGAGAGAACCAAGUAUCCAUAUUCUCUAAAGUCUUCCAAGGUGUUUUGGUGAUUUGUGAUUCCAUUUGAGGCUUCCACACUAUUGGGGCUAAGCUCUUAAAGCUUGAAGACAUCAAGCUACACCAAAAGGUAUGUCAUCUAACUAGUCUUUGUAGUAUAGUUACCUCAUAAUAUGCUAGUUAGGAUUAAAGCCUUGGAAAGUUCUUAUUUGCAUGUAUAAUAGAGAAAACAUAGAUCCAAGGUUUAUAGGGUUACAUGUACACCAUAGGAGUGUUAGAAUGCUCAAAACCCAACAAUAUUGACAAGCCGGGAGAGUUGGGUGUCAAAGUGUUGAGAAAGUUGGUGGUUCAAUCACUUUCUAAGUCACAUAGUGAGUUCCUUUGGGACUCCUAUGAAACAGACUAUGACAAGACCCUUAAUGAUCUUAUCUAUUUGCUUGGUACUGCUGAAUCAGCAAUGAUUUGAAAGGCUAGUAAAUAAAAUUUGAUUAGAAGAUCGACUUCCCAAAACUUUAUAGACAUUGAGAAUGAUGACACUGGAAAUCCAGAAAAAGCUCUUUCUUCCCAAUGGAAAAGGAUCGGCCAUAGUCAACUUGGUUGACCAAAUGGUAAAGAGAGAGGUUAAGUCUGAGAUAGUCCUCUUAUCAAGGGUCCAUAUGUUUCUAUUGCCAAGGGAAGGGGCUUUGGUUACGAAGUUGCCAAAGUUACCUAAGGAUGGUAAAGUCAAUAAGUUUGACUUUAUUUUAGGUAAAGUCCAUUGUCUAACUCUAUUAAGUUCCUACUUGGAGAUUAUUAUUACAUGAUGUCCCUGGGUCACAUGUUGAUGUUUUAAGAAUC